rnacentral:tRNA from 1 species
AAGGGAGACCUAAUUCAGGUAGGAGACGAAAAAAAAGUAGUCGCUACCAAGAAUCAAUCCCAAAAGGUCGGAGCGAGGCGAAAUUGGCUUUCAAACUAGGUUCUGGGUUCACACAAGACCUGAAUCAGGAACAAGGGCUAUUAGCUCAGGUGGUUAGAGCGCACCCCUGAUAAGGGUGAGGUCCCUGGUUCGAGUCCAGGAUGGCCCACCUGCACAGGUGGCAAAAACAAGAGAAGCUCCGAAUCAGCACCUUAUCUUAUCUAUAUAUAAGAGAGAAUGCUGGCUCUGAGUACAGAGUCCAGAGGAACCUUGAAAACUGCAUAGAGCUAGGUGAAAAAGCCAAAAAAGAAGACCGCAA